rnacentral:rRNA from 1 species
AUUGAACGCUGGCGGCAUGCCUUACACAUGCAAGUCGAACGGUAACAGGUCUUCGGAUGCUGACGAGUGGCGAACGGGUGAGUAAUACAUCGGAACGUGCCUAGUAGUGGGGGAUAACUACUCGAAAGAGUGGCUAAUACCGCAUGAGAUCUACGGAUGAAAGCAGGGGCUCGCAAGACCUUGUGCUACUAGAGCGGCCGAUGGCAGAGUAGGUAGUUGGUGGGAUAAAAGCUUACCAAGCCGACGAUCUGUAGCUGGUCUGAGAGGACGAUCAGCCACACUGGGACUGAGACACGGCCCAGACUCCUACGGGAGGCAGCAGUGGGGAAUUUUGGACAAUGGGCGAAAGCCUGAUCCAGCAAUGCCGCGUGCAGGAUAAAGGCCUUCGGGUUGUAAACUGCUUUUGUACGGAACGAAAAGCCCCGGGUUAAUACCCUGGGGUCAUGACGGUACCGUAAGAAUAAGCACCGGCUAACUACGUGCCAGCCGCCGCCGUAA